AAAUGUCUUCAUAUUUUUAUAACGUGGGAACAGACUAUAUUUCUCAAAUGAAAUAUCCGGAACGUAAGUUAUUAAAGCAGUUCAACGUACAGCUUGCUGGAGAAGGUUUGUUGAAGGAGGUGGGAACUGAAAUAUACCAAACAGGCUUGUGAAGAUAUAUAAAAAUAAUGGGGAAAGAAUGGAAAAGAGAUCCAAUCGAAGUAGGAAGAGUCUGAUUGAUGAGAGGGGUGACAGAAUUUUGAUUUGGACAGUGAAGAGGAAUAGAAGACAGACUUUGAGUGAAACUGUGGAUGAUUUUAACCAACAUGCUUCUGAUAAAUUGACUAUUCAGAGAAAACUCCACCAUCGUGGAAUUCACAGGCACAGAGUAAAGAAGACCCUCACUGUGUCAGAAGUCAACUGAAAACGCCAUGUUAAAUGGUGUAAAUAUAUGAAAAAUCGUGAAGUUGAUGAUAUUUGGAGAAAAGUGAUUAUCAAUUGAAACUCAAAUAGUGAUAUCAAAUGAAAAUCGUGUCUGUGUGUAUGGAGAACUCAGGAUGAAGCGUAUCGUCAAGAAUGUGUAGGUUUACAUGGCCGCAGUGUAAAGAUUAUUUGUAUGUUUUGGGGAUAUAUAACAUAUUCAGGAGUAGGUACAUCAGUUCCAGUAACUGGAAAUAUGAACGUUGAGAAUUAUACAAACUCUUGAUGAACAUUUAUGGCCAGUUAUUGCAAAACAUUUUGGAAAUUCAUCAUUUGUAUUCAAGGAUGACAAUGCUCCCUGUCAUGCCUCACAAUUGACAACAGCCUGGAAACUUGAAAAUGAUUUAAAUGGUUUUGACUGGCUGUCACAGUCACCAGACCUCAGCAUCAUAGAAAAUAUCUGGCUAAUUCUAAAAAUUCACUUUCAAAAAUCAUUGACAGCAAUUAAAUCCAAAUAUAAUUUGACCACUGAAGUUGGUUUUCUCUUACUGUCCCUAACAUCAGAAACGUAUAUCACACAAUUCCAAGAAGAUUACUUGCUGUAAUUUCUGCUAAAGGUCACAUCACUAAAUACUGAAAAUUUCAAGCACCUCUGAUGCAUCCGAUGCUGUUGAAAAUAUGAACCCGAAGAGAAAUUUUAAAAAGCCUUACAAAAUAUAGUGAAAAACGACUGCUGGUCAUGAAAGAUUUCUUUUAGAAUUAAUAAAUAUCUGAGAAAUGCA